GAUGAACGCUAGCGGCAGGCCUAACACAUGCAAGUCGAGGGAGAGGUUACCUUCGGGUAACCAAAACCGGCGCACGGGUGCGUAACGCGUAUACAAUCUGCCUUUCACAUAGGGAUAGCCCGAAGAAAUUUGGAUUAAUACCUAAUGGUAUAUAAGAGCGGCAUCGUUUUUAUAUUAAAGCUACGGUGGUGAAAGAUGAGUAUGCGUUCUAUUAGCUAGUUGGAGAGGUAACGGCUCCCCAAGGCGACGAUAGAUAGGGGUUCUGAGAGGGAUGUCCCCCACACUGGUACUGAGAUACGGACCAGACUCCUACGGGAGGCAGCAGUGAGGAAUAUUGGACAAUGGUCGGAAGACUGAUCCAGCCAUGCCGCGUGCAGGAUGAAGGUCCUAUGGAUUGUAAACUGCUUUUGUAAGGGAAGAAUAAGGGGUACGUGU
rnacentral:rRNA from 1 species